rnacentral:lncRNA from 1 species
AUCAAUCUGAAAUGCGGAACAUAAACUUCCAAACAAAUAAAAUUUUACACAAUUCCUCUGAAUACUAAAAUGACAAUGUUGUUUAUUGUAUAAGUAUAAUGUUCGAUUCUUGUUGUGUUUUUUCCUCCUUAUUCAGUUAUCCAACCUCUUCAACCUGCUAAAAGAAAAAAAAAACCUUUUCAACCACAAAUAAUCAGAUUUCCCUCUUCCCCACCAGCUAUGGUUUCUUCAGAUCCACACAUCUCCCCCCCCGGAUCUUCUAUUUCACGCUCACACCAUUAUUAAUUAGCGAAAGUUUGAUUGAGAUUUAGAGUUUUGCUCGGGAGGUGUUUGUGAAAAUGUCUAAACCAUUUUUGUAUAGUCUCUUAUGAUUGUUGUUGAGGAAGAGUUUAUGAAGGAUCUGUUCAAUUUGAAGAAGAUUAUCAGGCUGCUUUUCUGAAUUCCUUUACUUUUGUUUUUGGAUAGCUUAGUUUAAAUUAUCUCUACUUUUGUUCAAUUUGAAAGAAAGUGAGAGUUUUUUGUUCCUUUCUAGAAAUUUAAUAUGAUGAAAUUACAAGGUUUUGGUUUGGAAGAAGAAGAUGAAGUUGGGGGGAGUAAGGGCGCUGGAAAAGUAUUUUUUUUCUUCUUUAAAUUUAUUUUAUUUUUUUGUUAAUUUGUGUUAAGUUUUAAUAACAAAUUACACGUGUUCAUUGAUUGACUCAUUUCGCAAGUGUAACUAACACAUAUGCUAUACUGCACUGAAAUGUCUAUUUGAUUUACUUAAUAGUCACUUGAAGUGUUUAGAUGGAAAUGGUCUUAGUUGAGGUGUUCAGCUGGUAGUUGAGGACAACUUAAACGAACCAUUUAUGAAUUUCGGCUAAUAAAAAACUUGUUAGGUAAA